UACGUAGGGUGCAAGCGUUGUCCGGAAUUAUUGGGCGUAAAGAGCUCGUAGGCGGUCUGUCGCGUCUGCUGUGAAAACUCAGGGCUUAACCCUGAGCUUGCAGUGGGGUACGGGCAGACUAGAGUGCGGUAGGGGAGACUGGAAUUCCUGGUGUAGCGGUGAAAUGCGCAGAUAUCAGGAGGAACACCGGUGGCGAAGGCGGGUCUCUGGGCCGUAACUGACGCUGGAGGAGCGAAAGCAUCGGGGAGCGAACAGG
rnacentral:rRNA from 1 species